rnacentral:rRNA from 1 species
AUUGAACGCUGGCGGCGUGCCUAACACAUGCAAGUCGAGCGGUAACAGGUGUAGCAAUACAUGCUGACGAGCGGCGGACGGGUGAGUAACGCUUGGGAAUCUGCCUAUUAGUGGGGACAACCCGGGAAACGUCGGCUAAUACCGCAUACGCGUCUACGGAGGAAAGCCGGGACCGCAAGGCCGUGGCGCUAAUAGAUGAGCCCAAGUCGGAUUAGCUAGUUGGUAGGGUAA